rnacentral:rRNA from 1 species
AACGAUUUCAACCUAUUUUCAAACUUUGAAUGGUUGCGAUGUUCAUCUUAUUGAAAAAAGUAAUAAAAGUUGAACUAUAUUUAAAAAUAGUAUAAAUAGUGCCUAGUGGGCCAUUUUUGG